GAUGAACGCUGGCGGCGUGCCUAAUACAUGCAAGUCGAGCGAACAGACGAGGAGCUUGCUCCUCUGACGUUAGCGGCGGACGGGUGAGUAACACGUGGAUAACCUACCUAUAAGACUGGGAUAACUUCGGGAAACCGGAGCUAAUACCGGAUAAUAUAUUGAACCGCAUGGUUCAAUAGUGAAAGCCGGUUUUGCUGUCACUUAUAGAUGGAUCCGCGCCGCAUUAGCUAGUUGGUAAGGUAACGGCUUACCAAGGCAACGAUGCGUAGCCGACCUGAGAGGGUGAUCAGCCACACUGGAACUGAGACACGGUCCAGACUCCUACGGGAGGCAGCAGUAGGGAAUCUUCCGCAAUGGGCGAAAGCCUGACGGAGCAACGCCGCGUGAGUGAUGAAGGUCUUCGGAUCGUAAAACUCUGUUAUUAGGGAAGAACAAAUGUGUAAGUAACUAUGCACGUCUUGACGGUACCUAAUCAGAAAGCCACGGCUAACUACGUG
rnacentral:rRNA from 1 species